rnacentral:snoRNA from 1 species
AACCCAUGGUGAGGGCACUUUCUCAACAGAUCCUUGUAUUUCUCCCAUGUAUCAUAGAGUGUUUCUAAAUCCAUCUGCACAAAAGAAGAGAUAUCAUUUCGUAACUU